rfam:Triticum aestivum genome assembly, contig: Triticum_aestivum_CS42_TGACv1_scaffold_320616_4BL
GUAGUACUCCCUCCGUCCCAAAAUUCUUGUCUUACAUUUGUUUAGAUACGGAUGUAUCUAACACUAAAAUGUAACUAGAUACAUCCGUAUUUAUACAAAUUUAAGACAAGAAUUUUGGGACAGAGGGAGUACAAA